GGGGGGGGGGGGGGGGGGGGGGGGGGCGGGGGGGGGGGGGGGGCGCGGCGGGGGCGGCGGGGGGCGGGUGGGGAGCGCGGGGGGGCGUGCCCGUGGGGUCGGCAUCACGCUGGGAAGCGAGCGCUAGGACCGGAUACGCCCUUUGGGGGCGGGGCUUGCGGCCGAAGGAUCGGCCCGCGUCCGAUUCGCUCGGGGGUGGGGUCAUGGCCUACCAAGGCGACGCUCAGUAGCCGGUCGGGGAGGAUGAGCCGCCACACUGGGACUGAGACACGGCCGAGACCCGUAGGGGAGGCAGCAGUGGGGAAUAUUGGACAAGGGGCGCAAGCGUGAUCCAGCCAGGCCGCGUGAGUGAUGAAGGCGUUAGGGUUGUAAAGCUCUUUUGUCCGGGACGAUAAUGACGGUACCGGAAGAAUAAGCCCCGGCUAACUUCGUG
rnacentral:rRNA from 1 species